rnacentral:rRNA from 1 species
GAAUAUUGGACAAUGGGCGCAAGCCUGAUCCAGCCAUGCCGCGUGUGUGAAGAAGGCUCUAGGGUUGUAAAGCACUUUAAGUUGUGAGGAAGGGAUGUUUGUGAAUAAUGAGCAUUUUUGACGUUAGCAACAGAAUAAGCACCGGCUAACUCCGUGCCCGCAGCCGCGGUAAUACGGGGGGUGCAAGCGUUAAUCGGGUUUACUGGGCGUAAAGAGCUCGGAGGCGGCGAGUUAAGUUGGAUGUGAAAGCCCCGGGCUUAACCUGGGAACUGCAUUCAAAACUGGCUGGCUAGAGUAAGGGAGAGGAGAGUGGAAUUUCCGGUGUAGCGGUGAAAUGCAUAGAUAUCGGAAGGAACACCAGUGGCGAAGGCGACUCUCUGGCCUAUUACUGACGCUGAGGAGCGAAAGCGUGGGGAGCAAACAG